UGCAGUCGACGGANGGCCCUUCGGGGUACUCGAGUGGCGAACGGGUGAGUAACACGUGGGUGAUCUGCCCUGCACUUUGGGAUAAGCCUGGGAAACUGGGUCUAAUACCGAAUAGGACCACGCGCUUCAUGGUGUGUGGUGGAAAGCUUUUGCGGUGUGGGAUGGGCCCGCGGCCUAUCAGCUUGUUGGUGGGGUAAUGGCCUACCAAGGCGACGACGGGUAGCCGGCCUGAGAGGGUGACCGGCCACACUGGGACUGAGAUACGGCCCAGACUCCUACGGGAGGCAGCAGUGGGGAAUAUUGCACAAUGGGCGCAAGCCUGAUGCAGCGACGCCGCGUGAGGGAUGACGGCCUUCGGGUUGUAAACCUCUUUCAAUAGGGACGAAGCGCAAGUGACGGUACCUAUAGAAGAAGCACCGGCCAACUACGUGCCAGCAGCCGCGGUAAUACGUAGGGUGCGAGCGUUGUCCGGAAUUACUGGGCGUAAAGAGCUCGUAGGUGGUUUGUCGCGUUGUUCGUGAAAACUCACAGCUUAACUGUGGGCGUGCGGGCGAUACGGGCAGACUAGAGUACUGCAGGGGAGACUGGAAUUCCUGGUGUAGCGGUGGAAUGCGCAGAUAUCAGGAGGAACACCGGUGGCGAAGGCGGGUCUCUGGGCAGUAACUGACGCUGAGGAGCGAAAGCGUGGGGAGCGAACAGGAUUAGAUACCCUGGUAGUCCACGCCGUAAACGGUGGGUACUAGGUGUGGGUUCCUUCCUUGGGAUCCGUGCCGUAGCUAACGCAUUAAGUACCCCGCCUGGGGAGUACGGCCGCAAGGCUAAAACUCAAAGGAAUUGACGGGGGCCCGCACAAGCGGCGGAGCAUGUGGAUUAAUUCGAUGCAACGCGAAGAACCUUACCUGGGUUUGACAUGCACAGGACGCCGGCAGAGAUGUCGGUUCCCUUGUGGCCUGUGUGCAGGUGGUGCAUGGCUGUCGUCAGCUCGUGUCGUGAGAUGUUGGGUUAAGUCCCGCAACGAGCGCAACCCUUGUCCUAUGUUGCCAGCGGGUUAUGCCGGGGACUCGUAGGAGACUGCCGGGGUCAACUCGGAGGAAGGUGGGGAUGACGUCAAGUCAUCAUGCCCCUUAUGUCCAGGGCUUCACACAUGCUACAAUGGCCGGUACAAAGGGCUGCGAUGCCGUGAGGUGGAGCGAAYCCUUUCAAARCCGGUCUCAGUUCGGAUCGGGGUYUGCAACUCGACCCCGUGAAGUCGGAGUCGCUAGUAAUCGCARAUCAGCAACGCUGCGGUGAAUACGUUSCCGGGCCUUGUACACACYGCCCGUCACRWCAUGAAAGUCGGUAACACCCGAAGCCGGWNGCCYA
rnacentral:rRNA from 1 species